AGCGAACGCUGGCGGCAGGCCUAACACAUGCAAGUCGAACGAACCCUUCGGGGUUCGUGGCGGACGGGUGAGUAACACGUGGGAACGUGCCUUUAGGUUCGGACUAACUCAGGGAAACUUGUGCUAAUACCGACUGUGCCCUUCGGGGGAAAGAUUUAUCGCCUUUAGAGCGGCCCGCGUCUGAUUAGCUAGUUGGUGAGGUAAAGGCUCACCAAGGCUACGAUCAGUAGCUGGGCUGCGAGGAUGACCAGCCACAUUGGGACUGAGACACGGCCCAAACUCCUACGGGAGGCAGCAGUGGGGAAUCUUGCGCAAUGGGCGAAAGCCUGACGCAGCCAUGCCGCGUGGAUGAUGAAGGUCUUAGGAUUGUAAAAUCCUUUCACCGGUGAAGAUAAUGACUGUAGCCGGAGAAGAAGCCCCGGCUAACUUCGUGCCAGCCGCCGCGGUAA
rnacentral:rRNA from 1 species